rnacentral:tRNA from 1 species
CGGGGCGUAGUUCAGUCCGGUAGAAUGCUUGCAUGGGGUGCAAGUGGUCGCACGUUCAAAUCGUGUCGCCCCGACCA